rnacentral:rRNA from 1 species
ACAUUAUUUACUUAAAAAAUUGAAAAAAAUAUUCCAAGGACGUGCUUGAAAACAACUUGAUUUUUGAAGGAUUGCGGGUUCGGCCGAUAGCGUAAGCCUUCUUCGGGCCCCUCCAUCCCCGGGUGUUCGGAUCCAUGCGUGCUUGCAUCCAGCGGGCAUCCCCGGAGUGUGUAGGAUGUGACCCGAAAGAUGGUGAACUAUGCCUGAUCAGAUCGAAGUCAGGGGAAGCCCUGAUGGAGUACCGAAGCAUUUCUUACGUGCAAAUCGAUUUUCAGAGUUAGGAAUAGGGAUGAAAGACCAAUAUAAUAGACGG